rnacentral:rRNA from 1 species
UACGAAGGGGGCAAGCGUUGUUCGGAAUUACUGGGCGUAAAGGGCGCGCAGGCGGCCGAUCAAGUCAGAUGUGAAAGCCCCGGGCUCAACCUGGGAAUAGCAUUUGGGACUGGUCGGCUAGAGUUCGGGAGAGGAGAGUGGAAUUCCCAGUGUAGAGGUGAAAUUCGUAGAUAUCGGGAAGAACACCCGUGGCGAAGGCGGCUCUCUGGGACGGUACUGACGCUGAGACGCGAAAAGCGUGGGGGAGCGAACAGG